rnacentral:rRNA from 1 species
CCUACGGGAGGCAGCAGUGAGGAAUAUUGGUCAAUGGACGAGAGUCUGAACCAGCCAAGUAGCGUGAAGGAUGACUGCCCUAUGGGUUGUAAACUUCUUUUAUAUGGGAAUAAAAUGUUCCACGUGUGGGAUUUUGUAUGUACCAUAUGAAUAAGGAUCGGCUAACUCCGUGCCAGCAGCCGCGGUAAUACGGAGGAUCCGAGCGUUAUCCGGAUUUAUUGGGUUUAAAGGGAGCGUAGGUGGAUUGUUAAGUCAGUUGUGAAAGUUUGCGGCUCAACCGUAAAAUUGCAGUUGAAACUGGCAGUCUUGAGUACAGUAGAGGUGGGCGGAAGUCGUGGUGUAGCGGUGAAAUGCUUAGAUAUCACGAAGAACUCCGAUUGCGAAGGCAGUUCACUGGACUGCAACUGACACUGAGGCUCGAAAGUGUGGGUAUCAAACAGGAUUAGAGACCCGUGUAGUC